AUAGCACUCCAGUGACCAGAAGAGGAACUGCAUGGAACUGCCUGAGGCCAAGUCCUGCAAACCAGAGAACCAUUGGUGGCAUAAUUGAGUCAGAGAUAGUAGGUACUGAUGGAGUGUUGUACUACCGGAGAUGCCAGCUUUAGGGUGAGAUCUUAAACCAAGGCUCCAUCUGCCAGCUCCAGUGGACAUAAAAGACACUGUGGCGCUAUUUCAAAGAAGAGCAGGGAAGUUCUCCCUGGUGUUCUGACCAGUAUUUAACCUUCAAGCAACAUCUAAACACAGAAUGUUUUGCCAUUAUCACAUCGCUCUUUAUAGGAUCUUGCUGUAUGUAAAUUGGCUGCUGUGUUUCCUACAGCAGUACUUCAAAUAGUACUUAAUUGGCUGUAAAGCACUUUGGGAUGUUCUGAAGUUGUGAAAAGCUCUAUGAAUGCAGGCCUUUUGUUCUUAAAAUGGUAAAAUUCUAGAGUGCACUUUUUAAAAAAUCAUUUAUGAAGACUGUACUUCCUUGGUUACUAAAUGUGCUUGAUGUUUGAGCACAGUGUAUAUAUAAAGUACAUUUUCCACUCACAGAAUAAAGGUAAUAAAGGAU